CGUCCAAUCAUGUGACCGGCAACUGCCAGGAAGCCCGCCUUCCGGAGCUCUGGCGCAAUGGGUAGCAGGGGCUAGCGUGCACUUCCGCGUUGUGUGCUUCCUCUGUCUCAAGAACGUUCAUCCCAAAGCCGCUUUCCUAUUGGUUAAUGUCACACCCGGCAGCCGAGCCAGAGAUUUCAUUGGUGCUGGAGUUCCAGGCUGGACGUUCAAAUGAGGAGUUUCUUCUGCUGCUGGCUCUCUUCUCACUCUGCGGAGACAGAAUACAUGGUACAACUUCUGUCAGUGUAUGGGGAGACUGGAACUCAGGGGUGGCGCUCUGGUGAGAAGCGGGGGAGAGGGAGACAUGUAGCGACUGCAGCAGCUUCUCUGAGCCAGGAGUCCGCGGGAGAG